rnacentral:rRNA from 1 species
GUGGGGAAUAUUGGGCAAUGGGGGAAACCCUGACCCAGCAACGCCGCGUGAAGGAAGAAGGCUUUCGGGUUGUAAACUUCUUUUAUGAGGGAAGAUAAUGACGGUACCUCAUGAAUAAGCCACGGCUAACUACGUGCCAGCAGCCGCGGUAAUACGUAGGUGGCAAGCGUUGUCCGGAUUUACUGGGUGUAAAGGGCGUGUAGGCGGGACUGCAAGUCAGAUGUGAAAUUUCGGGGCUCAACCCCGAAACUGCAUUUGAAACUGUGGUUCUUGAGUAUCGGAGAGGCAGGCGGAAUUCCUAGUGUAGCGGUGAAAUGCGUAGAUAUUAGGAGGAACACCAGUGGCGAAGGCGGCUUUCUGGACGGUGUCUGACACUGAGGCGCGAAAGCUAGGGGAGCGAACGGGAUUAGAAACCCCUGUAGUCC